rnacentral:rRNA from 1 species
UACGGAGGGGGCUAGCGUUGUUCGGAAUUACUGGGCGUAAAGCGCACGUAGGCGGCUUUGUAAGUUAGAGGUGAAAGCCCGGAGCUCAACUCCGGAAUUGCCUUUAAGACUGCAUCGCUAGAAUUGUGGAGAGGUGAGUGGAAUUCCGAGUGUAGAGGUGAAAUUCGUAGAUAUUCGGAAGAACACCAGUGGCGAGGGCGACUCACUGGACACAUAUUGACGCUGAGGUGCGAAAGCGUGGGGAGCAAACAGG